ensembl:lncRNA
GGGGGGUGGGGAGGGCACUGGUGCGUGGGUAGAGUCGCUUUGCCGCGUGCCUUAUUUAUUUCUCUCUCUAUCCACGUAUUUAUUUAUUUGUUUCUUUCUUUAUUUAUUUGUUUGUUGACCAUGAAAUUUACAUCUUCCACGAUCUUCCAGAUCCGAUACUUGCUUCCUUGAAUUGGCCUUAAAUCCAAGCUCAAUCUCAGCCUCUCUUUCCAAGAAUCUGGAUGCAAAACAACAUUUGACUUGAGAUGCUGCUUAGAUCUAUGAUUGAAAUACCUUGGCAACACUCAUGUCAGUCUUAAGUUGGGAAGGAGCUGCCACUUGUUACCAUCUGGGAAUGGACUUUGUAUGGUCUGUGGCCAGUGCCACAUCUCAGCAUCUCAGCUGUGGCCCCCUCAUGCCAAAGGUGCUGCAAGCACAGAGGAUGAAAAUUUGCUCCUCAGAGCUAGCAUGGAAUCCUGGGGAAGACUUAUCCCCCACAUGGAAUCCCAGAGGUAUCGCUGGUGGACCUUCCCUGAAGCUCAGCCCUGAAAGUGCUGUCUCUGGGGCAGAGCAGUUGGUGAGUCUGCUCUGGGAUGCAGCCCCCGAGGGUCAGUGGCUGAGACACGAUGUAGGUGAGUCUGCUGAAGGCCCAUUGAAUACACAGGUGAAUCUGCCCCAGACAGGGUCUACACAUCACUCCAGCCCCGUCAGCAGCAGUUACCUCUGAGCAACCAUCAACACACACCGUCCAAGGGACACAGCUUUAGAUUUCAUGAUCGCUGGCUCCAGGAGAUCAGCAACAGGAGAGCCUCCAUCCUAUCAGCCAUGGCCCUUGGGUCCCAGCACUGGCUGAUGUGAAGCUAUCCCCAGCUCAGCUGUCACCUGUUGCAGCGGGAGCCCAGGAGACCUCCAGAGCUUCCUGUGAAUGGAUGGUCCUUAGGAACUCAUCCGCUGCAGCUGGGAUUAACAGCCCUGGCUGUAGGGUGAUGGCUUGAGAUCCUCAGCUGCUGGAAAUGUCCCACAGAUGUGUGCUGGGAGCUUUCACAGGCACCUGCUGGCAGUGCAUUGCAGAAAACCCAUGAAAGAAGAGUGAUCACACGAUUAACUGAAGGACGCAAAGUACAGAUUUUAUUUGGAAACAUUACAUUUUGCCAUUUUAAAAGCAAUUUAUGUCCAGAUUGUGGCAAAACAUUUUUGCCUGAAACGUAAGGUAUAUAUAUAACUACAUGUAAAAU